UACGGGGGGGGUAAGCGUUGUUCGGAAUUACUGGGCGUAAAGGGCUCGUAGGCGGUUUGUCGCGUCGGGAGUGAAAUCCACUGGCUUAACUGGUGGCUUGCUUUCGAUACGGGCAGACUGGAGGUAUGCAGGGGAGAACGGAAUUCCUGGUGUAGCGGUGAAAUGCGUAGAUAUUGGGAGGAACACCGGUGGCGAAGGCGGCCCUCUGGACCGAAACUGACACUGAAGCGCGAAAGCUAGGGGAGCAAACGGG
rnacentral:rRNA from 1 species